GGAGAGGUGUCAGAGUGGCCGAUCGUGCAAGCUUGGAAAGUUUGUGUCCUUUACCGGACCGGGGGUUCGAAUCCCGCCCUCUCCGCCA
rnacentral:tRNA from 1 species